rnacentral:lncRNA from 1 species
GGCCAUUCCAAGUGCGGGCCCGCAGAUACCACACCCACCCGGAAGUCCUCCUGGCCCACAAGCUCCGCGGCGCAGCCCGGGUUCCCGCCCACGUCUCUCCUUCCGGGGCUCUCACUCCAUACCUCCCCACAAGCUGAGGGAGCCGGCUCCGGCCUCAGCCAGCCCAGAAAGGGGCUCCCACAGUGCAGCGGGCUGAAGGGCUCCUCAAUAGCGACCAGAGUGGGCACCAAGGCCGAGGAGGCACCAAAAGCGAGUGAGGGCUGCGAGGGCUGCGAGGGCUGCCAGCACAUUGUCGCCUCUCAGUAGGGUCUUUGAGAGACAAGGUAUUUCACUGUAACAGACAUCAGACUAAAAGAUAAAACCCUGACACUUUGGACAUUUCAAAAGUUAAAAUAAUUGUAUACCCUUCAAUUAUUGGAACCAUUUCAAUCAAUGCCCUAUACUAUGCCAAAUGACAGGAUCUUGCUAUGAUUCCCAGGCUGAUCACAAACUCCUGACCUCAAGCAACCCUUUCACCUCAGCAUCCCAAAGUGCUGGGAUUACAGGAUGAUCCACUAUGUCUGGCCCAUAAAUAGAUGAAAUUUCGCUCUGUCUCCCAGGCUGGAGUGCAGUGGUGCGAUCACUGCUCACUGUGACCUCCGUCUCCCAGGUUCAAGUGAUUCUCCUGCCUCAGUCUCCUGAGUGGCCGGCACUAUGGGCACACACCACCACGCCCAUCUAAUUUUUGUAAUUUUAGUAGACACAGAGUUUUACCAUAUUGGUCAGGCUGGUCUCGAACUCCUGACCUCAGGUGAUCGACCUGCUUUGGCUUCCCAAAGUCCUGGGAUUACAGGUGUGAGCCACCGCGCCUGGCUGGUUUUCUUUUAGAUUUUUUUUUAAAUUUUAUAAUUAUUUUUUAAGUUCCCUGGAUACAUGUGUAGGAUGUGAAGGUUUGUUACAUAGGUAAAUGUGUGCCAUGGUGGUUAGCUCCACCUAUCAACCCAUACGCUAGGUAUUAAGCCCAGUUCUUCCAUGGUAAACUUUUCAUUUUUGAUGAUAUCAUUCACUCCUCUUCUCUCCUUUUGAUGCAAGUAUUCUGCACUCAAGUCUAGCCCUUAUUAACAUUAGUAUUUCUUUAGAAAUUUCCCCAAAUCAUAUUUUAAUCCAUCUUUCAAGCACUUAAAUAAAUUUCUUAACAUAGUACAUAUCACUUUUGAAAUCCAAAAAUUUUUAAGAUCUCUUCAAUACAUUCAGGGGCUGUUUACAAUUCAAAAAUAAAUAUUAUUUGAGCACUACAUACUUCUCCAAACAUAUUUUUCAAAAGUUUCUAAAGUUUUCUGCUGUUCUGGAAUGUUUUCCUUAUUACUUUAAUAUGCCAUAUGUAUAUGUAAUAUUUUUCAUAAGGUUGCCUUUUUCCCUAGAAUUCCCUGCUUGAAUGCUCUUUGCUUCUUUAGAUUUUAAGACUGAAAGUCUUGCUUGUAUCAUGGAACUGAUCUUAUGUCCUCAGAUAAUUAUAAUCCUUUCCUGUUCUUGAUUAUGAGAAGAGGUAAUGAUUUUGCUGUGAAAUCCAUCUUAGGAGUGUCCAUCUCCUCAGUCAAUCAAAUUUAAGACUCAGAAUUUAUCUCUGAAACCUAAUACUAAAUUUUUCCUAUGAAAUCAUGUUCAAAGAUACUUGUAAACUAUUUUGAUUUGAGGAUACGAAUUUUCCUCUGCAGUCUUGCCACUUGCAUGGUUUGGAGCCCGGACUUACACAUGAUCAUCUACAGAAGUGGAUACAUAAAUAGGGACAAUAAUUAAGGUUUAGCCCAUCAUAGGAUCAGCCAAAAUAUCAGCAUCAUCAGUCAAUAUAAAAGGUAAAAGGUAGCAUAGCAUCAAAAUAAAAGAAAUGAGUCAUAUCACAGAAAAGAACUGCUUGUAUCAUCCUGUACUUAGGAACUUGAGCAUUUGGAAAACUCGUGAGUUUACAGUUUAAGAGCUGUGACAGGAAUAAGUUAUCUGAUAUGCAAGGCCUGAUGGGUAUCUCAGUUCUCUACCUCAUAGGCUAGUAGAAAUUUGUGGCAAAUUUUCUUUUAGGUUUUCUUUUUGCUGCCAUAAUUAUUUUGGCUCAUAUUUUUUGAAUUGUGUUUCUUCAAGUUCAUAGGAUUUGUGGGACAAAAUUCUAAGAGUAUACCUGUAUUACAGACUUGAGGGCUUUUUAGUGUAUUCAUUUUCAUUCUGGGACGAGGGGAGAGGAGAUGAAGGUGAAAACAGAAAGCAUUGGCAUUUGGAAAUGGCUGAGCUUUCUGUUAAUUUCUUUCUUUCUUGCUAGAAAUACUGGUAAAGUGUAAGAAAAAAACAAUAAUCAGAGAAAGAACUUCUCAGUGUUAACUAGCUAUGUGCUCUAUCAGGAAGCAUUUCAGGUUUUCAAGUAGGAUUUUAGUUAAUAGUGCAUGGUUUUUAUUAUACUUUAAGUUCGGGGUACAUGUGCAGGACAUGCAGUUUUUUUACAUAGGAAUACAUGUGCCAUGGUGGUUUGCUGCACCCAUCAACCCAUCACCUACAUUAGGUGUUUCUCUUAAUGCUAUCCCUCCCCUAGCUCCCCAUCCUGUGACAGACCCUGGUGUGUGAUGUUCCCCUCCCUGAGUCCACCUGUUCUCCUUGUUCAGUUCCCACAUCUGAGUGAGAACAUGUGGUGCUAGGUUUUCUGUUCUUGUGAUAGUUUGCUGAGAAGGAUGGUUUCCAGCUUCCUCCAUGUCACUUUUGACAUGGACAUGAACGUAUCCAUUUUUAUGGCUGCAUAGUAUUCCAUGGUGUACAUGUGCCACAUUUUCUUUAUCUAGUCUGUCAUUUGGGUCUGGACAUUUGGGUUGGUUCCACAUCCAUGGUUUUUAAAACAGUGUUUUCAAAACUCUUUGAAAACUGUUUACCUAAGUAUUAAUAAUGUGAAAAUGGUUAUUGAUGUUAAGGUGAGAUGCUGUAUUUCAUAUGUGUGCAAUAAAUGGAUAUCAUUCUUGAAGACUCAUUGUGUCCAUUAACAAAUUGAGGUCUCUGAACAUUCCUGUUUUUAAAAGGAAACUUUGUCAUUGUUUACAUAAAAUUUUCCAAGCUUAUACACUUAUAUAUUAAGAUCUGAAAGGCAAAUAUUCAGCAGAAUAGCUGUUUGUGAACACAGUUCUAGGGUAAUAACCCAUAAAAAUUUUAGUAUAAAUAAACAAGGAUCAAAGUUAUUACUCUAAUUUUCUCAGAUCCAGAAUAUUAAGAACUUACAUAUGCAUCUUGGUGGUUCUGACCAGUCUCCAUUACUACA